ensembl:lncRNA
CUCCAAGACCUGGCUCUUUGUGAACACGCGAGUUCCCAAAAUAGAAUAGCAGCUCUUCUCCCCACGCCUGAUCUACUCAGCUUGCCACCUCUAUUCGGCAAAUAUGAUUGACUUGGUGAUCCUUGAAAAUCUUUCAAAAUCUCGAUUUUUCAAUGACUGUGUGAGCCUUCCUGAGCAAGGAAGGCAGAGGCAGAAGAGAAGGCCCGGGAAGAGAACCUAAGGUCCAGGAGGGCGCUGUCACCCUGAGCUUAAUGUCCAACUCUGGCCAGAGCUGUGGCCACACAGGGUGGAUGACUGACUGGGGCAGAGGGACACCACACAAAUGAAAAUUGGAAAGUCUGUUCUUUUGGGUACAUGAAUGUUUACUUCACAGUCCCGACAGUUCUUUUAUUAGCAAAUAUUAAUUUCAACUGAACAAAACUGGAAGACCUUCCUGGAGC